GGGCCCGCACAAGCGGUGGAGCAUGUGGUUUAAUUCGAUGAUACGCGAGGAACCUUACCAGGGCUUAAAUGUAGUGGGACAGGUCUAGAGAUAGACCCUUCUUCGGACUCAUUACAAGGUGCUGCAUGGUUGUCGUCAGCUCGUGCCGUGAGGUGUCAGGUUAAGUCCUAUAACGAGCGCAACCCCUAUCGUUAGUUGCCAGCGAGUAAUGUCGGGAACUCUAACGAAACUGCCAGUGCAAACUGUGAGGAAGGUGGGGAUGACGUCAAAUCAUCACGGCCCUUACGUCCUGGGCUACACACGUGCUACAAUGGCCGGUACAGAGAGCAGCCACUUCGCAAGAAGGAGCGAAUCUAUUAAAACCAGGCCCAGUUCAGAUUGUAGUCUGCAACUCGACUACAUGAAGUCGGAAUCGCUAGUAAUGGCGCAUC
rnacentral:rRNA from 1 species